rnacentral:lncRNA from 1 species
UUUUUCCCUUCUCAAAAGCUUCAGAUACCUGACCUGUUCAAUGCUUUUUUAGCCUUCAUUUACUCUUGGCCUCAUUUAUUAUCUUCCUAACCACAGCCCUCACAUGCUCUAAAAGAAAAACUGGAAAGAAGAGUUCCAAAAAAACCACAGGCAUCCCAUGGUGAACUCAUCACCUGCACCAGGUAUGUAGGUUACGUCAAAGGCUACAUCACAAGCCCAGGAAUACCAGGAACAUGAACACAUGUUCAAGCAUCAAGAUAACUAAUCAAAACUGAAUAGGACAUUGAGUCAUAAGGCUUUUACUUUCUGAAGUACAUAAUGAUGCCAAAAUAUUUCAAGUAGAAUGUGACACUGUGUAAGUACGUUCUCUGGGCUUGAGUUCUUAAAAGGGGAUGAGGUUGAACCUUGCCCAUCAUAAACGCAGAGCAGAGGGGACCGGAUAAAUGCUGGGUGCCGUCACAGGAACCCCGUCCUCUCCUUCAGAUCGUUUCCAGUCGAGAAGUCAGAAUUUUCUCUAAGCAAAGGUACCUUUUUACAAACUAUUUUGCAUUUUCAUAAUGAUCUCAUAUAGGUAAUAUAGGUUCAAGAGACAAAUGUUUAAGAGAGGGUUUGAUGAAGCACCAAGCAAAUGCCAUUUAGUAUCAAAAGGCAUAAUGUCUUAUCAAUUUAUAAUUUUGUUUAUGAUGCAUAUCCACAGUUAUAUUGGACUCUGAGCAAGUCCCAAAGUGCCAUUUUGAGGAACAUGAUGGAAAAAUAACAUGUAUGCGUAGGAUUCACUAAGGGGGCUGGCUGCUGACAAAAAGGAGAGCUGCAGACUCUCCCACGCUGGGCCUUCACCAGGUCACCCAGAUAACGCGCACGCGAGCCUCAGCUGCACAAAGCCAGGAGCGGCCAGGAUCAGCCAUCACCAUUCCCCGGAUGCUCUGCAUAGCUCCUGAGUCAAGCAGUAAUCAAGGUCAGUUCUGUCUAAAGCGCAGAGGACAGCCCUCAGAUGGCACACCUUUGGCAUAAAAGCAAUGAGCGUGUCAUUCCCAC